AAAAGUAGUAUAUAUACUACAUGUUUCGUUUUAAUUUUUUUAAUGAACUUAGUAAGAAAUAUGAAACAAUUAAAUUUCGAAAUUAGAAUAUCAAGUAUGAAUAUCGACCGUCUCUAGCGCAAGUGGCAAAAGGCUUAGUGAUUGAUACCCGAGGUAUCAAGUUCGAAACCUUACUGCUUUUCAUUUCCAGCUAAGUUUAUUUCUAAAAAAUAUAAACAAAACGAAUAGUAUGCCCUUUCUAUCUAAAAAAAAAGAAUCUUAAAUAUUAAUCAUUAAAUUCUUAGCUAACUACGUUGCAUAGUAUUGGUCAUUUUUCUUUGGUCAUUUUUCUUUGUGAUUAAUUCGGCAAUUAAGACAGUUUUUUUUAGAGAGAGAAAGAUAAUAGGCUAUUAUGUCAAUCAUUAAAUUCUUGGCCAACUACGUUAUAUAGUAUUGGUCAUUUUUCUUUGUGAUUAAUUUGACAAUUAAGAAAUUUUUUUUAGAGAGAGAAAGAUAGUAGACUAUUAGUUUUGUCUUUUUUGUCAAAAAUAAGUUGAAAUAUAAAGUAAUAAGUUUCGAACGUAAAACCGUAGUAUCAACUAAAAAAUCAUAGCCAACUAGUUAGUAGAGAGAAAUUAUUUACGAAUCUAAUCUACACAAAUUGGAAGGAAUAUAUACACUUGACCACUAAACUUUUAUAGGAAUAAAUAUAUAAUCUUAUUACUUUGUAUAAAUACAUGUACAAUUAACCCAUUGAAAUAUGCAAGAAUGAAAAUAGAUACACAUCGACCGUCCCUAGAGCAAAUGGCAAAGGGCUUGGUGGUUGGUACUCGAGAUCCAAGUUCGAAUUCUAGUUGAUUCACAUUUUCAGCUAAAUUUAUUUCUAAAUGAAAUAAGUGAAACGGAUAACGUGCUAUCUAUCUCUCUCAAAAAAAAAAAAGAAAAAAAAAA
rnacentral:lncRNA from 1 species